GAUGAACGCUGGCGGCGUGCCUAAUACAUGCAAGUCGAGCGAACAGACGAGGAGCUUGCUCCUCUGACGUUAGCGGCGGACGGGUGAGUAACACGUGGAUAACCUACCUAUAAGACUGGGAUAACUUCGGGAAACCGGAGCUAAUACCGGAUAAUAUAUUGAACUGCAUGGUUCAAUAGUGAAAGACGGUUUUGCUGUCACUUAUAGAUGGAUCCGCGCCGCAUUAGCUAGUUGGUAAGGUAACGGCUUACCAAGGCAACGAUGCGUAGCCGACCUGAGAGGGUGGGUGGCCACACUGGAACUGAGACACGGUCCACGCUCCUACGGGAGGCAGCAGUGGGGAAUCUUGCGCAAUGGGCGAAAGCCUGACGCAGCAACGCCGCGUGAGUGAUGAUGGUCUUCGGAUCGUAAAGCUCUGUUAUUAGGGAAGAACAAAUGUGUAAGUAACUAUGCACGUCUUGACGGUACCUUAUCAGAAAGCCACGGCUAACUACGUG
rnacentral:rRNA from 1 species